UCUUAGUGGAUUAGGGGUGUGCACAACAAAUGGUAUUGGGAUCAGGGGCCUUGAGGCCCAUCACGAAAUGCAAAUGUGAGGCUGAAGCCAUCAGACCUCACUUAUUUCCUAAAUCAAUCAUGUUUAGCCCUUUUUCCCUAAACAAACCCCACAACGAAACCCCUGCUCCACCUUGCUGGAAAUCCCCUCCGGCAGCGACGGAGGUCCAAACCAAUCCUAACUUACCUCAAUCAGAUCGUCUAUGAACCCUCACUCUCAAUCUCAUAUUAAUGUCCUCCAAUUCUCUAACCCUAGUUUGUACGAAUGGAAAACUUGUUGUGGUUGUUGUUGAAUGUUGUCUGCAUGUGAGAGUGAGGGAAACGUUGAGAUAUUAAGAGUUCCAGGGAGAACUCAAAGAGAGUGUAUUGAGAGAGAAAAAGAACAUAGAGAGUUGAGAGACUUUUCAGUGGAAGGUGGUGGUGAUUGUGAUUGUUGAUGAAUUUGAGAGUGAUGAGGAAUUAUAUAAAGGAUGAUGAUGUAACUGAUUUGGGCAGGUUGGGCAGAGGUGUUAACAGAGUUAGGGCACAGUUAAGUCUAAGUUGGAUUGAGGAGCUUGUUAUAUGUUAGGGUUCUGUUAACUUAUGUUAAAUGUUAAUGAGAUGAAUCCAGAUAGUGAAGUAUUAUUAGUGAUUUAAGGCUAUCUUGUCAGUUAUAGUUGAUGAUCUUAAUGGCAAGUGUUAGUUAACUUUCUGUUAAAACUGUUGGUUUAGUUUAUUAAGUUUGUUACAUUGAUUAUGCAAGUUUAGUUAGUGAUUAAAAAUUGUUAGUUCUGUUAGUGUGAUUUUUGAAUCAGUUAAAAGUGUUGGUGUUAAAGUGAGAGUUAAAUUGUUAGUGAAGAAGAAGUGAGUUUGGAUUAGGGUGUUGAAAACAAUUAGUUAUGCAGCUAAAAUAAUUUAGGGGAAUUAGGGAAAUCGAGAGAAUUUUUUAUAGCUAUGUUAGCUUUUAGAUUCAGUUAGUUUUGGAAUGUUAAACUAGUGAACUGCUUGGGAAAUGCUACUGAACUAGUGUUGGAUUGGAAUCUAGUUAUUGAAUUCAGUUACAAAGCUAACUUCCAGGGCCUCUUUAAAGAGUAAUUGACAGUUAGGUUAUAGGAAUGACUUAGUUAUGUAGUUAUGCUAUUGUUUUGCAGGGUUGUCUUGGGCUUAGCAUGGAGAUAAUGACAUGAGCAAAACUUCAACAUGAGCAAAACUUGACUUUUGAUCUGAGACUUGAACAUGAGCAUAAUUUGGCAUGAUGCACCAUAACAAAGAUUGGUGACUUGGAGACCAAAGUGGGAGUCAUGAAGAUGAAUACGGGAAUAAGUCUAGGGUUAAGUUGACUUUGGUCAACUAUUUGACCAAAAAGUCAACAGUUGACCAAAAGUAAACCUUAGAUCAAAGUUAGGGGUUCCUUUGUAUAAUCUCAAAUUUGCACGUGUAAUGUACUUUUUUGAUGUUUUGAAUGUAGAUUGACCAUUACAUGUAACUUGACUAAUGCCUUAAGUAAAAUGGAACUUUUCCCUCCAUAUUUGAAAAA